UACGUAGGGUCCGAGCGUUGUCCGGAAUACUGGGCGUAAAGCGUGCGCAGGCGGUAAUGUAAGACAGGUGUGAAAUCCCAGGGCUUAACCUUGGAACUGCAUUGGUGACUGGCAGGCUAGAGUAUGGCAGAGGGGGGUAGAAUUCCACGUGUAGCAGUGAAAUGCGUAGAGAUGUGGAGGAAUACCGAUGGCGAAGGCAGCCCCCCUGGGCCAAUACUGACGCUCAUGCA
rnacentral:rRNA from 1 species